GACGAACGCUGGCGGCGUGCUUAACACAUGCAAGUCGAACGGAAAGGCCCUGCUUUUGUGGGGUGCUCGAGUGGCGAACGGGUGAGUAACACGUGAGUAACCUGCCCUUGACUUUGGGAUAACUUCAGGAAACUGGGGCUAAUACCGGAUAGGAGCUCCUGCUGCAUGGUGGGGGUUGGAAAGUUUCGGCGGUUGGGGAUGGACUCGCGGCUUAUCAGCUUGUUGGUGGGGUAGUGGCUUACCAAGGCUUUGACGGGUAGCCGGCCUGAGAGGGUGACCGGCGACAUUGGGACUGAGAUACGGCCCAGACUCGUACGGGAGGCAGAAGGGGGGAAUAUGGCACAAUGGGCGGAAGCCUGAUGCAGCAACGCCGCGUGCGGGAUGACGGCCUUCGGGGUGUAAACCGCUUUCGCAUGUGACGAAGCGUCAGUGACGGUAAUGGGUAAAGAAGCACCGGCUAACUACGUG
rnacentral:rRNA from 1 species